AAUCAACGCUGGCGGCGUGCCUAACACAUGCAAGUCGAACGCGAAAGCCCCUUCGGGGGCAAGUAGAGUGGCGUCCGGGUGAGUAACACGUGGGUAAUCUACCUCCGGGUGGGGAAUAACUCGCCGAAAGGCGGGCUAAUACCGCAUAAUGCAGCGGCACCGAAUGGUGAUUAGUUGUUAAAGCGGGGGACCUUAGGCCUCGCGUCUGGAGAGGAGCCUGCGGCAGAUUAGCUUGNGGGUUAGGGUAAUGGCCUACCAAGGCUGCGAUCUGUAGCUGGUCUGAGAGGACGGCCAGCCACACUGGCACUGACACACGGGCCAGACUCCUACGGGAGGCAGCAGUGGGGAAUUUUGGGCAAUGGGCGAAAGCCUGACCAGCAACGCCGCGUGAAGGAGGAAAUCCUUCGGGAUGUAAACUUCACAAGCAAGGGAAGAGCGCGCAGGGUCGAAUAAACUCUGCGUCCGACGGUACCUUGCGUAAGCCACGGCUAACUACGUGCCAGCCGCC
rnacentral:rRNA from 1 species